AGGUUAUUGCCAGGGUUUUUAUUUUUAUACUUUAAACUUUGAUUUUAUUUUUAUGUUUUUUAAAUAUUGGUGUUUUUGAAUGUGUUGUUUAAAUAACAUAAAAAAUAAAAUAUAUAUUGACAUGUAUUAAACAAAGAUAUAUAUUAUUUUAUGUUGUAUAAAUAAAUUGGCAAAAUAGAGAUGGAAGAUAAAAAUAAAAACCCUGGCAAUAA
rnacentral:misc_RNA from 1 species